AAGGCGACCCGGCUAUUUUCCGGAAAUAUUGCGGGUCCGACGUGCAGUGUGAAAGGGGCUAAAGAUUUCAGAUGAUGGAAACUAUAGAUGAACAUGCAAAGCUGCUAAAUAAUCCUUAUAUUGUAAUCAUUGCCCUAAAAGGGAGGAACUUGUCAGCAAAUCUACUUCACAGCACAUCAGUGAAAGCAGUUACAGACGUGUGUUGGAUCAGGGUCAGAUCUGAAUUCUGCAGGUUUCCUGUGAUGACCGUUGAAGAGAUCAGCACAUCAGAUGUUGGCCUGGACAGCUGUACCUACAGUACACCACACUGACUUCUUUGCAUGGAUAGCUGACUACUACUAUUAUGUUCUGUGAAGGUAUUAUUAUAGCUAAUCUGAGCACCUGUGACAGUGGAAAUGUUGUAAUGAAUAGUCACACAUGCAUAUUUGUAAAUUGAAAGUCACAGAUAAAUCUUUUAGUACUAACAAUGUUUUUUUUUUUUUUUUUUUACUAAAAUUCUCUCCAGCAAACACAACACAACAGUUACACCAUUUCAUAUUCUGAGGUGCACAAACCCUAUUCUACAAAUAAGAGAACAACAGUAUAGACCCUUUGUACGUGACGUCACCCUCUACUCGCGCGAAUUGUGAACGCCAUGACGGACGGCAGAAGAGCUUUGCUGUAGGACGGACCGCAAGCCAAACGAGUACGAGUUCGUGUUCGUUCGUGUAAUAAAAUGUUUUUGUUUUUUUUUACUUGUAAGCACAGUGCAGUGAUAAUGGUCAAACUGUGUAUUUACAAUGUUAAAGUGGCUGACAACAAUAAAUAUUCUUAUUAGGAAUAAAACUGCAUUGUUUUUUAACUGUGCAGAGCAGUAACGUUAGCUGAAUAGUUAGGCCUAUUACGCUACUGUAAUUUUAAUAUUGGUCAUUGUGGUGGUACUUGGACAGCCAAAUAUUUUCUGAGGUGGUACUAACUGCAUUAGAAAGUUGCAUUGGCACACCCAGUAAACAACGGUAACUUGAAAACGGAGGAAAAAGGUAAGGAUCGUAUCCAAUCCCACGAUCUCCUAAUUCUCCAAAUACCGUUCUUUGUGAGCACCUACCAGAUGCCCUACCUCGACCGAUAAUGACACGACAGCUUGUUUAAUAGAAGAAGCCAUAAAGUUUAGUGUUAUUUAUUUUAAACUGAUUGAAACUUUUUUUACAGUUCGCACAUGCUUUAUUUUAUUUUUUUACAAAUUAGAGCAAAUUGAAUGGAAAUUAAUUGAAUAGAAAAUGUAAUUGCUUUUGGAAAAUGGCGGAAGACUCAGCUGCUCAAAUUAAUAAAGGCAGGUCAUUCUACCAUGAUCUUAUCUACAAAUACUACUAUUCUCAUAAAGUCUGUAAAUAUGUCCAGUUCUAAUAAACACAUUUCAGGAAAAAAAAACUAUUCAAUAAUAUGAGAAAAAUGAAAUGCAGCCCUGCAUAAAUCCUGCACAACUGAGGCUGUGAUUUUUUUAAUUUGUAGAAUAGGAUUCAUGCACCUGUAGUGAAGAUUUUGAGAAGGUUUUGUUGUGUUUGUGAGAGAAAGAGAAAGAAACAAAAACAAGCUUGCAACCCCAAAAACAUUUUCUUGAUGAUUUAUUGAAAUAUUGUCUACAAAUACAAAUUCCAAUGUCACAAGUGCUCAAUUUUGUUAUAUUAAUGUACAAAGUGUCUCGAUUGUACAGUAGAUGUACUGUAUCCAAAUAUAACAGGGACAUUAAUAACUGAAUAUUCAGGGGAUGCAAACUUAUCACUUUUAAGUAAAAAUGUACAUUUUGAAUCCAAAAAUCAUUUGCAUGUUUUGUGUAGAUCCAAAGAGUUUUUAAAAGCGAAUUAGUUAAAUAGCACAUGCUAAAUAACACAAGCAAUUUUUUGUUUACAUUUUAUAUAUGUAAUAAAAAGAAAAAAAGGCUGUCAGUUUUUUAAGGUUCUGCCUUGCAUCUUCUUUUGUGACCCACUGAAAAUAAGUCAAACACAUUUGGCCAUAUAUAUAUAUAUUUUUUUUUUUUUAUUCAGUGAAUAUAGCUUUUAAUUUAUUACUUGACACAAUUUAUAUUAGCCUAUAAUAUACUUUAUACCUAUUUGUGUGUGUAUUUGUGUGUGAAAGCAUUUUCUUGACUUAGAAGGUUUGUGCUCUACACAUGUAUUUGUAACUGUGUAUAAACUUUAUUGUAUAAAUAAUAAAGAAAUUGUGACUGAAUGUGAUGUGUUUAAUAAAGUUUUACUUAUACAGGCUAAUUUAUUGAGUACUAAAUAUGUGAAAUUUUUAAAACAAGCAGAAAAUGUGAACAGUACAGUAGUUUUACCCAAAUGAAAUCAACGUCGUUUCAACGUUAUGUAAGCAAACCAAUUAGAUCGAUUUUUUGUUGAAAACGUAUUGAUUCGCUGACGUCGUUUCAACUGACUGAAAAUCAACGUCGAUUCAACGUUAGGUAAGACAACCAAUUGCGUCGAUUUUCCGUUAGUUUUGAAUGGCGUGCCUGACGUCGGAUCAACGUAAACCCGAUGAGCAAAAACGAUGUUGGAUCGACGUCGGAGAUCAACGUCGUUUCGACGCCGCGAGAAACGUCGAUUCUACGUUGAUUCUAUGUCAGUUUGCUAUCUGGGCAGUACCCAAGAGGAAUACUCUAAUACUUAACCUCAAUUAACAUCCUUUAUGAACAGAGGAACAUUAGACAUAAUAUGAUAUGAAUACCGUUUUUGAACGAAAAGCAUUUCUAGAGUAAAAGUCUCUUUCUGCACUGAACACAAGUGUUAUUAAAGUAAAUCACUCCAGCGCUAUUCAUAUGAGAAGCUUGAAAGCGAACCUAAUUACGCAAAAUAAUCUAUGCAUGACACCAAAAAGCAAACAAUAGCGAAGAAAGAGAAGAAAAAGAGC